GAUUCCCUUCACCCGCUCCA
rnacentral:tRNA from 1 species